rnacentral:rRNA from 1 species
AAUAUUGGACAAUGGGGGCAACGCUGAUCCAGCCAUGCCGCGUGUGUGAAGAAUGUCUUCGGAUUGUAAAGCACUAUAAGUUGGGAGGAGGGACGUUAGGUUAAUACCCUGCAGUUUUGACGUUACCAACAGAAUAUGCACCGGCUAACUCUGUUCCACCAGCCGCGGUAAUACAGAGGGUGCAAUGGUUAAUCGGAAUUACUGGGCGUAAAGCGCGCGUAGGUGGUUCAGUAAGAUGGGUGUGAAAUCCCCGGGCUUAACCUGGGAACUGCUUUCAUAACUGCUGAGCUAGAGUACGGUAGAGGGUAGUGGAAGUUCCUGUGUAGCGGUGAAAUGCGUAGAUAUAGGAAGGAACACCAGUGGCGAAGGCGACUACCUGGACUGAUACUGACACUGAGGUGCGAAAGCGUGGGGAGCAAAC